rnacentral:rRNA from 1 species
UACGAAGGGACUAGCGUUGUUCGGAAUCACUGGGCGUAAAGCGCACGUAGGCGGAUAUGUCAGUCAGGGGUGAAAUCCCGGGGCUCAACCUCGGAACUGCCUUUGAUACAGCAUAUCUUGAGUCCGAUAGAGGUGGGUGGAAUUCCUAGUGUAGAGGUGAAAUUCGUAGAUAUUAGGAAGAACACCGGUGGCGAAGGCGGCCCACUGGAUCGGUACUGACGCUGAGGUGCGAAAGCGUGGGGAGCAACAGG